AGUACCGUGAGGGAAAGGUGAAAAGAACCGCAGUGAGCGGAGUGAAAUAGAACCUGAAACCAUCUGCCUACAAUCAUUCAGAGCCCUAUGCUAUACGCAGGGUGAUGGACUGCCUUUUGCAUAAUGAGCCUGCGAGUUAUGGUGACUAGCAAGGUUAAUCAAACGAGAAGCCGUAGCGAAAGCGAGUCUUAAUAGGGCGUUAGUUAGUUGCUGUAGACCCGAAACUAAGUGAUCUAUCCAUGGGCAGGUUGAAGCUGGUGUAAGAGCUAGUGGAGGACCGAACGGGUGAAGGUUUAAAACUUCUCCGAUGACCUGUGGAUAGGGGUGAAAGGCCAAUCAAACUUAGUGAUAGCUGGUUCUCUCCGAAAUAUAUUUAGGUAUAGCGUCAUGUUCGAAGCAUGAGGGGGUAGAGCACUGAUUGGGCUAGGGCCUAUACCAAGGUACCAAACCCAGUCAAACUCCGAAUACCUCAUGUGAAUUCAUGGCAGUCAGGUUGUGGGUGAUAAAAUCCAUGAUCGAGAGGGAAACAGCCCAGACUACCAGCUAAGGUCCCAAAGUUCUAAUUAAGUGGAAAAGGAUGUGGAGUUGCUUAGACAACCAGGAGGUUGGCUUAGAAGCAGCCAUCCUUUAAAGAAAGCGUAACAGCUCACUGGUCUAGCGAUUCUGCGCCGAAGAUAUAACGGGGCUAAAUUAGACACCGAAGCUGUAGAUUUAGUAUUUAUACUAAGUGGUAGGAGAGCGUUCUAGUCAGCAUUGAAGCCAUACCGGUAAGGAGUGGUGGAGCGGCUAGAAGUGAGCAUGCAGGCAUGAGUAGCGAGAAAACGGGUGAGAAUCCCGUUCGCCGUAAACCCAAGGGUUCCUACACUAUGCUCGUCAAUGUAGGGUUAGUCGGGUCCUAAGCUGAGUCCGAAAGGGGUAAGCGAUGGCAAAUUGGUUAAUAUUCCAAUACCAACUAAUAGUUUAGUACGAUGGGGGGACGCAUAGGGUUAAACGAGGUCACUGAUGGAAUAGUGGCUCGAAGGGUGUAGAUAAGCUGGAUAGGAAAAUCCGCCGGCUGUUUUCGAGACCUGACAGGCAGAUCGAGUUCUUCGGAACAACAUCUGAAUCGUUGAUACCGUCGUGCCAAGAAAAGCCUCUAAGUGUAUUAUUAGUUGCCCGUACCGUAAACCGACACAGGUGGGUGAGAUGAGUAUUCUAAGGCGCGUGGAAGAACCCUGGUUAAGGAACUCUGCAAACUAGCACCGUAACUUCGGAAUAAGGUGUGCCUCCUUCUGUAUAGAGAUUUACUCUCGAAAGCGGAAGAGGUUGCAACAAAGAGUCCCUCCCGACUGUUUAUCAAAAACACAGCACUUUGCUAACUCGCAAGAGGAUGUAUAAGGUGUGACGCCUGCCCGGUGCUUGAAGGUUAAUUGAUGGGGUUAGUUCUUCGGAACGAAGCUCUUGAUCGAAGCCCAAGUAAACGGCGGCCGUAACUAUAACGGUCCUAAGGUAGCGAAAUUCCUUGUCGGUUAAAUACCGACCUGCAUGAAUGGCGUAACGAG
rnacentral:rRNA from 1 species